rnacentral:lncRNA from 1 species
CCUAACAGCCACUGCCCAUUUCUGCAGUUUCUUCACAUACAAGAUCGGCUAUACAAAAAAAUAGAAUCUGCAAAUCAGGUGUUUCUGAAAACCAAGUUUUAUUUAAAUAAGGGUUUAAAUACAUUACAUAACAUUAAAACUGAAGGGAAGGAAAAAACCAAAGACCAGUUUGUUACUUCACAUGGCAUUGGGCAGCUGCUGCUAGUCAAGCCGCAAGUUCUACAGCUGGCUACGUGACUGACACAUAUCAGUUUGAGAUUUGUUCCCUUGUCAAAAGUUUAACUCUGCUAGAAGGGUGGCCUCACAUUCUGGUGUUUGGACAUCAAUUAGCUAGGAUAUGUCUGGUCAAAAAGACCUCGCUGGCAAGCCAGAUGUCCUAUCACCUCAUUAGAGGGAAGGGGGCCACUCUAAGCUCUCUGCCGUUGCUGCCUUACCCCAUCCUCUCCUCUCAGCUUCACCAAGGGCUGCUCAGGUGGUGACAUUCUCUCAGGGCAGGGAACUCUGUAGAGGGAGAGCCGAGGAGCUUCUGGCCAGACAUAGCCAUCUGUGAUCUCGGGGCUCUGGGCUUGGCCGAAACAUCACAUUAUUGCUUUGUUUCAGGCUGGACACUGCCAGGCGCCCACUGCUUGACCUCUGUUUAAAUGAGGGACUUCAAGACUAGACAGCAUGGCUCUUUUCAGUUUAUUGCAUGAAGGAGUUACACUAGUCCAAGUUAAAAGCAGACCCCAAAUGGUUACAUUAUACAAGCUGUGAGGUUUUUAAACUUGUGACAAGGGACAGAAGGGAAAUUCUACUCAUUGCAAGGAAAUCCUCACUUAAGCUUCAAUGAGCCAAAAGCACUUAAAACCCAUGAACCUUCAGCUGGUCCUCCUUAGCCAGUCCAAUCUGCAAAGAAAAAAGGGCAGAGUUUUAAAGAGGGGACAGAGAGUUAAAGCCUGUAUUUCUGAUGCUGACAAUUCUGUCUUCCUGCUUCUACACCGGGCAAGUCCAAGAGCCAAGUGCACACCUCACCACCACGAGCACAACGGUUUUCAGUUCAGGGUACGCAGUUAAGAACCAAUGCAGCAAGAUUGUAGCACUUAGGAACAGCCAACUAGAUAUCUUAUUUCAGUAUUUGUGUGCAAUUUAAAUUUGCAUCUUUAAAGUAGAUCCAUGCAAACAGUAAACUUAAGGCAAACAAAUACCUUCUGUUUUUGGAAAUACCUUUGUCUAUAUACCUCCAAACAACUCUUCUGCAUAGUCGUACAAAAGGAGCUUCUAUGUCCCCAGCAGAAAUAGACUAGACAGGAUCUGAGAUUAGCCAGGGCAGAGCACAAACGGAUUAUCAAAAAGCGACUGAACUUACCUCUACCAGGAACUGGCAUAUGUUCUUGCGCUGGUCACCCUGUAGUUGAAUUACUUCUCCAUAUUCUGGAUGCUCAAUUACAGUACCAUUGCAGGCAAAUUUCUGCAAGCACAAGGGAAUCAAAGCAAAUUAGGUCAAGCAACAGCACCAAGGCGCCAAUGAUCCUCUCUGGGAAAGAACACAACACAGCACUGCCACGUGGGCAAGUUAAAUGUGAGUUCCCUACGAUCUCAUCGAAGACUUACCUUCUUAAACGCCUUCACUAGUUUCUUUUUAUCGUAAUCAUCAGCGAUCCCUUGGACGGUAGUAAGAGUCUUCCUGCCGUUUCUCUGUUGAAUUCUUAUAUGGAUAUAAUCCUCAGUGCCAGCAGGAAGUAGAUCAUCACCCUUACUUGCAUCAGCAAAGGGGUCUGGGGAGAAAGUUCAAGCUCGUUUGGAGCUGUCGUAGCUCUGCUGCCACUGCCACCCUCCCACUGGAUCUUUUCCAGGUGCAGAAACUCAUACUGAAAUCGCCAGUUAGAUCAGGUAUGUCCUUUCUCGACUCUCCCGGAACAGGUCAAUCCGGGACGGCCGGCUUCCCCAGCCCCGGAGAAGGCCUGG